UGCCCCAUAGUCUGGGAUACCACUUGGAAACAGGUGCUAAUACCGGAUAAGAAAGCGGAUCGCAUGAUCAGCUUUUAAAAGGCGGCGUAAGCUGUCGCUAUGGGAUGGCCCCGCGGUGCAUUAGCUAGUUGGUAAGGUAAAGGCUUACCAAGGCGAUGAUGCAUAACCGAGUUGAGAGACUGAUCGGCCACAUUGGGACUGAGACACGGCCCAAACUCCUACGGGAGGCAGCAGCC
rnacentral:rRNA from 1 species